rnacentral:rRNA from 1 species
AACGCGAAGAACCUUACCUGGGCUUGACAUGCCAGGAUUAUCCCCAUGAAAGUGGGGUAGGCCCCGCAAGGGGUACAACUGGUACAGGUGCUGCAUGGCUGUCGUCAGCUCGUGUCGUGAGAUGUCGGGUUAAGUCCCUUAACGAGCGAAACCUUUGCCCUUAGUUACCAGCGGGUUAUGCCGGGGACUCUAAGGGGACUGCCGGUGUCAAACCGGAGGAAGGUGGAGAUGACGUCAAGUCCUCAUGGCCUUUAUGCCCAGGGCCACACACGUGCUACAAUGGGGUGCACAGAGCGAACCUAGAGCGCAAGCUGGAGGAAAUCGCAGAAAUCACCCCCCAGUUCAGAUCGGAGGCUGCAACUCGCCUCCGUGAAGUUGGAAUCGCUAGUAAUCGCGGAUCAGCCACGCCGCGGUGAAUGUGUUCCCGGGCCUUGUACACACCGACGCGUA